GCGGCCUAUCAGCUUGUUGGUGAGGUAAUGGCUCACCAAGGCAACGACGGGUAGCCGGCCUGAGAGGGCGACCGGCCACACUGGGACUGAGACACGGCCCAGACUCCUACGGGAGGCAGCAGUGGGGAAUGUUGGGCAAUGGAGGCAACUCUGACCCAGCGACGCCGCGUGCGGGAUGAAGGCCUUCGGGUUGUAAACUGCUUUCAGUAGGGAAGAAGCGAAAGUGACGGUACCUACAAAAGAAGCACCGGCUAACUAUGUGCCAGCAGCCGCGGUAAUACAUAGGGUGCAAGCGUUGUCCGGAAUUAUUGGGCGUAAAGAGCUCGUAGGUCGUUUGUUACGUCGGAUGUGAAAACCUGAGGCUCAACCUCAGGCCUGCAUUCGAUACGGGCAAACUAGAGUUUGGUAGGGGAGACUGGAAUUCCU
rnacentral:rRNA from 1 species